CUGGAGUGCUCCUGCAACCUUACUCUUCUCUUACCAAAAUACAGCAUGGAGGGCACCGGUGUAAAUCAGGACUGCAGUUGGGCCAUGAGAUUAUGAUAAGCAGAUAGGAUUGUAGUGCUGUGCCACAAUACGCUGGAUAAUACAGAAGUUGGUUUAUAGUUACAGUGAGAGUACCUCUGGAUGUAGUCCUGAGGUGGGGAUGGAGUUGGGACAGAGUCAGUAAAUCUAUGGUCUGUGGUGCUGGCAACCCAUAUGGGCAAUGGUUCAAGUUCUAAAUGCUCCACUUCUGAUCCAGCUCCCCUCUAAAAAGUCUGGGUGCAGCUUCUUCAUCUGGAAAAUGAGGGUGUUGACCUAACUGAACUCUGAGGGCCCGUCCAGCUCCAGCAACCUACACUCUUAAAUAAGACUAAAAGGCAAAGCCAAUAUCAUGAUCUACUGGCACUGACCUAGAGGGGAAAGGCUUCAUCUCCCAACAUCAGCCAAUCUCAUCUCAUUGCAAGGGAAAGGCCCCUGGAGACGUGCACCUAUCCAUCAUGUGGACAGCUUUGGCCGAAGUGCCCACUACAUCACUGGCUUUAAUAAAAAGUUGCUGGAGGCUGCAGUACUGGUGACAGAUGUAAACUGCAGCAUGGCCAGAGCCUACGGAUUCUCCCAAGGUGGAAGUACACUUGAGGAGAAGGAAGAAGAGGAAAAGCGAACACAAAAAGCGGGAUGAA